rnacentral:rRNA from 1 species
CCGUAGCCCAAGAGAUCGGGAUAACACCUGGAAACAGAUGCUAAUACCGGAUAACAACAGAUGAUGCCUAUCAACUGUUUAAAAGAUGGUUCUGCUAUCACUCUUGGAUGGACCUGCGGUGCAUUAGCUAGUUGGUAGGGUAACGGCCUACCAAGGCGAUGAUGCAUAGCCGAGUUGAGAGACUGAUCGACCACAUUGGGACUGAGACACGGCCCAAACUCCUACGGGAGGCAGCAGAC